GGCGACCGGCGCACGGGUGAGUAACGCGUAUGCAACCUACCUUAUACUGGGGGAUAGCCCAGAGAAAUCUGGAUUAAUACCGCAUAACAAUGUAUUAUCGCAUGGUGAUAUAUUUAAAACUCCGGUGGUAUAAGAUGGGCAUGCGUAGCAUUAGUUAGUUGGUGAGGUAACGGCUCACCAAGACGAUGAUGCUUAGGGGGUCUGAGAGGAUAGUCCCCCACACUGGUACUGAGACACGGACCAGACUCCUACGGGAGGCAGCAGUGAGGAAUAUUGGUCAAUGGACGCAAGUCUGAACCAGCCAUGUCGCGUGCAGGAUGACGGCCCUAUGGGUUGUAAACUGCUUUUUUACAGGAAUAAUUGUCUUUACGUGUAGAGAUUUGAAUGUACUGUAUGAAUAAGGAUCGGCUAACUCCGUGCCAGCAGCCGCGGUAAUACGGAGGAUUCGAGCGUUAUCCGGAUUUAUUGGGUUUAAAGGGUCCGUAGGCGGUUCUUUAAGUCAGUGGUGAAUCCCAGAGCUCAACUCUGGAACUGCCAUUGAAACUGAAGAACUUGAAUAUGGUUGAGGUAGGCGGAAUACGUUAUGUAGCGGUGAAAUGCAUAGAUAUAACGUAGAACACCAAUUGCGAAGGCAGCUUACUAAACCAUUAUUGACGCUGAUGGACGAAAGCGUGGGGAGCGAACAGGAUUAGAUACCCUGGUAGUCCACGCCGUAAACGAUGAUUACUCGUUGUGCACAAUACACCGUGCGUGACCGAGCGAAAGCAUUAAGUAAUCCACCUGGGGAGUACGUUCGCAAGAAUGAAACUCAAAGGAAUUGACGGGGGCCCGCACAAGCGGAGGAACAUGUGGUUUAAUUCGAUGAUACGCGAGGAACCUUACCUGGACUUAAAUGUAGAUUGAUCGGUUUAGAAAUAGACUUUGCCUUCGGGACAAUUGACAAGGUGCUGCAUGGUUGUCGUCAGCUCGUGCCGUGAGGUGUCGGGUUAAGUCCCAUAACGAGCGCAACCCCUAUCGUUAGUUGCUAGCAGGUAAUGCUGAGGACUCUAGCGAGACUGCCACCGUAAGGUGUGAGGAAGGUGGGGAUGACGUCAAAUCAGCACGGCCCUUACGUCCAGGGCUACACACGUGUUACAAUGGCCAGUACAAAGGGCAGCUACCAGGCGACUGGAUGCUAAUCUCAAAAGCUGGUCUCAGUUCGGAUCGGAGUCUGCAACUCGACUCCGUGAAGUUGGAUUCGCUAGUAAUCGUAGAUCAGCAAUGCUACGGUGAAUACGUUCCCGGGCCUUGUACACACCGCCCGUCAAGCCAUGGAAGCCGAGGGUGCCUGAAGUACGUUACCGCAAGGAGCGUCCUAGGGUAAAAUUGGUAACUAGGGCUAAGUCGUAACAAGGUAACC
rnacentral:rRNA from 1 species